CUCCCUCUGCCAAGCUGGUGGGAAGGCCCUUGCCAAAGCGCACAAGACCCCUUCACACAGCAGGGGCACAAGGUCUUCGAGGCAGAGUCGCCUGCAGGUGGGGUGGAAGGGGUGCGCCCCAGACCCAAGAAUCACCCGCCUCUCCAAGACCAUCCCUGGCUGCUGGCCCAGUGACGAGCACCAUCCGGAAGUGAAGGCUGAUGGGCACUUCCUGGCCCUGCGGGGUUCCCUGUCUCUGGCUGGAGCUGAUGAGCCGUGGCGUGAUGCUUGCCUGGGGGUCGGUGUUGCCUAGAAGUGAGGAAUGACCUCCUUCACCCCUGGCUCCUUCCGGCAGCCUGGCCACUUCCAGCAUGUGGAGGGGGCCCGGGCCCUGGCAGAGACGGUGUGGAACCGCCGGCCGCAUGCGGGGCUGGAGUUCGGGGCUGCCAAUGGGCUAAGGCCCUGUGUUCAACACAUGUCGUGGAACUGUCGUGAAAAAAAGACUCAGGACCACAGGUCCGGGGCGCUCCCAGGGGUCUUUCCCACCGAGGCUGGGAGUGAGCAGCAGCCUAGGCCCAGCCACACCUCCCAGGCUCGGGAGCUGCCAGGCCAGGCAACCGUGAGGGGUAGCAGGGUGGGGGGUGGAGGGGAGGGCAGGGAGAGCAGGCCUCUCGGGCCUCACCCACCCUUGCACCUUCCAGCUCUAGGGCCCACACAGUACCAAGCCCUGGGCUCAAUGUACCACUUAUGAAAACUCAAUUCAAAUUGGCUUAGUGCAACAAUGUAUUCGGUGGUCUCACAUGACUUGAACAUCCAGGCCUGGCUGGGUCUGGGGUCCCAAUCGCUGUCACGGGAACCCCAUCUCUUCCCAUUGCAGCUACUUGGCAGGUGGCGGGAUGUCCCCCAGCCACCGACUUCCCCCUGCCUGCUCAGCAACCCCAGGGCCUGCAGAAAAGGCCCACGAGACUCAGACUGGCAAAGAGACUAGGCGGACCAGGAACAGGGGCGCAGUCUCCGUCCCACCCAAACCCUAACCAGACAGAAGAUGGCACGUUGUGCCAGACGGAGGACGGAUGCCAGCGAGGGUCCAUGCCCUCACUGCCAACAAGGCUGGGAACUGGGCCAAGUGAAGCAGAGGCCUCCAUGUCAGAUGUGAGCGCCACUGGCCCAGGUGACUGCAGUUCUUCCCUCCUUCCGUUCGGCUUGAGCCCUCCGGAGGAUCGGAAAGGCUGAGGCCUGACCUGGUGCCGCUGCCCUGGGUGGGUCUGUCCUGCUGGUCGGUUCCUGCCCCUCUCGGGGAGGUUGGCUGGUGGCUGGCAGGUGGAAAGCCUCCUGUGUUCGCCUCAGGGCAGAGGUGGGGACACAGGGCGGGACGGGCGAGUGUGGUGCCCCUCUGGGGUGGGUGCUCUUGGGUCCGCCUCCCGUGCCAGAGUGCGUGUCAACAGUUCCAGCUGCCCCUCAGAACUGUCCUGGUUUAGGAGGUGAACACACGGGGCAGCCUACAUUCUACAUGGUUUUUUUUAACAUUAUAAAAGCAGCAUGUGUUAUUACAGGAAAUUUAACAGAAGUAUAUAAAAAGAAACCAGAAGUCACCCGGGA
rnacentral:sRNA from 1 species